ACCACAUUACAGAUGGGGAAAGAGCCCUCUUUUCGGAGUGUCAAGACCUUCCCGAGCACUGGAAGGGUAGAGCCCCCUCCUCCGCGAGCGCUCGCUCUCUUGGGUCACGUCCAGCUGGCACAGCUACCCUUCCGCUUGGCCCACUCUCAGUUCCCUGGACACAGCUCUGCCUGGAAGCGCUUCUUGCCUGCUCCUCACUUCAGUUUUCUCCUUCCAAGAGCCCUAGGAAUCUUUUCCUGACUCACAGUCUUGCUGGUCCUAAAGAUGCCCAUGCCCAGGUCAGGGAGGACGCCCUGACACUCUGGCCUUAGAUCCCAGAGCCCAAUCCCUUCUCUGAUCUCCUCACUUGGCAUUGAGCCUGCCAUUUGCUGACCACUGCUACGAGCCAGGCGGUGUUCACAGACAUCUCAUGAAAUCCUCACAACCGCCCCAUGAAGAGUUCUCAACCCUGUUUACAGUGGAGGAAACAGGCUCAGAAAAACGAAGUUACGUCGCUGAAGAUUCUCCAGCAGGCAGGUGGUGGAGCCUGGCGUUCCCCACAGGGAUGUGUUUACAGUGGAUUCCCUGGGUGCAUUGCCCCCUCACUCUGCAAGGAGGCUUCCCCUGUACUUCUUGAGUUUAUGAUCAAUUCCAGUAUCCUGUCUGAGGCUGCUCUUGGAACCAGUUCCUGUAUUGGUAGGAAAGAAGGAAAUUGUGGAGCAGAAAACCAGAGUGCCCCAGCUAGGAUGUUGGGAGUGGAACUGGUGCCAGGACAUCUGAGACAGGGAGUGAAGCUGGUGAGUUAGGAGGGCAUCCUUAGGGCGAGAACUGCAGAUUGCCCAGGAAACUGAAGCAGGCCACAGAGCAGGAUGAGCUCUUCCUUCAUUCGGUAUUCUGUUAAAAACGCAGAUUGCUGUACUGCAAUUCAAUUCUCACGCUAACCACCUGGAGU
rnacentral:lncRNA from 1 species